UUCCUACGGGAGGCAGCAGUGGGGAAUAUUGCACAAUGGGCGGAAGCCUGAUGCAGCAACGCCGCGUGCGGGAUGACGGCCUUCGGGUUGUAAACCGCUUUCGCCUGUGACGAAGCGUGAGUGACGGUAAUGGGUAAAGAAGCACCGGCUAACUACGUGCCAGCAGCCGCGGUGAUACGUAGGGUGCGAGCGUUGUCCGGAUUUAUUGGGCGUAAAGGGCUCGUAGGUGGUUGAUCGCGUCGGAAGUGUAAUCUUGGGGCUUAACCCUGAGCGUGCUUUCGAUACGGGUUGACUUGAGGAAGGUAGGGGAGAAUGGAAUUCCUGGUGGAGCGGUGGAAUGCGCAGAUAUCAGGAGGAACACCAGUGGCGAAGGCGGUUCUCUGGGCCUUUCCUGACGCUGAGGAGCGAAAGCGUGGGGAGCGAACAGGAUUAGAUACCCUGGUAGUCCA
rnacentral:rRNA from 1 species